rnacentral:tRNA from 1 species
ACAGAUAGUACUUGCAGCUUAAUGAUGUUAUUUUAUUGUUAUUAGAGGGAUUAAUUAUAUUUAUUUGCGU